UUAACUGGCUGGCAAUGCUGUUUUUAAUGCAUUCCAAAACAUGGCUUAACCUCUCAGCUGUCAGGAUACAUUUCUUCUCAUGUUGUGCCUGCUGUCACCAGCAUCUCCAGGUCUGUUUCUACCAUGGUGCUCUCCAGACACUGGUCCUGCAGGUCUGUAUGUGUGCCUAGCAUUACUCCACCCAGGCUGGAGGCUGACCGGCUGGAGAUAAGUUUCUGUGGGUCCUGGAUUACUGCAUGCUAAGAAUGAACUAGCAGGCAUCAUGUCUGCAUUCAUCCCUCAUCAGCCAGCAGAAAAGUGUCUGGGGAAAAGAAGAUUGAUUUGCUCCUGUGACAUUGCCAAUUUUGUUCUUUAAAAACAUUGUACUCAGACAAAAAUUACUUUAAACAGUAUACGUGCAUAAAUUUAAUAUGAGUAUGUAGAGAUAAUGGGCUAAAUAUCAUCUAUAGGUACAGGAAGUAUUCCCAUCGGUGGACAAAAAAUUUUCCACUUUGGAGAUCAACCACAUAAAGAAGUAUAUGUUCAAAACAGAACAAAUGAUGUUUCCUAUUGUCCAGAUCAAGGAAUGUAGAAUGUGAUUUAUUUUUUUUUUCUCUUACUUUCUUCUGAUAAUUUAGAUGAAAUAAAGAAAAUUUUACAUAGAUUAAACUGAUUGGACUUAGAUAAAUGAUAUUAUCUGGAGCACAGGUCACCUCCACAUCCAAAAAGUGCAUAUGUGCUAAUCUAGUCAUUAAACGCUAAUUGCCACAUCUGUUAAUUUUACCUCAAGAUAAAUUUACUGGUUUCACUGUGUCUAAAAAGUGGGAGUCGGGACACAAACUUUCAGUAACUUAAUGUUUCAGCAAAUAUAUUUUUCUGCCUUCCAGCAAAAUGUUCUAAAUCCCACAAAUUCAACUAGAUCAGGCUAACAGACAUUUUCACCAUUUUAAUUUGGUAUGGGCUACUAUUGUGCACCUAAGACUGUAAGACUGAGAAAGACAGUGAAUAAGAAAGAAUGUGCCUCUGAGCAUUAAAGAGGGGGAUUUAUUCUGUGUUAAAGUGCUAUCUGAUAGAAAAGUCUACUUGCAGUCUUGCACACAAAUCUACCUUUCUUCCUCUAUCCUUCAUCUAUGUUAUUACUGAAAAAUGUGUACCUAAUUGUGUACAGAGGAUUCAGAACACAUAUUUUCUUUUAUACCUCUAGAUUUACAGAUCCAAUUCUGAAGCUAGUAUGAUUUCAGAUAGAGUGCUACUGUGAGCACAUCACUUGGGAUUGCGGAUUUCACUGUUAUAUGACCUUCUGGGCUCCUUGGCCUCAAUUUUGUUCAGAUUCUGAGGCUUGAUCUCAUCUGAAAAAUGUUUAUGUUCAAUGAAUGUAUGGAUACUGCAAGUGCACUGUCAUUUAUCUGUCUACUGUAAACUGGAAUGGUCUGCAGUACCGUAAGAACUAGUUGGUAGUCUAAAAGUAUAAUUUUAACAUGAAGUGUCCUGCAAAAAAUAUCUGAUAUUUUAGGUUUCACUGGUAAAGGCUUACUACAUAAAAUUGAUGUAUUUCUAAGAUUUAUCAACCUUCUUAGCUUAGUAAAUUCAUAAAAAUACUCAGGUAGCUAUCUGGAAUAGAAAGUGUUUAGAUUUAGUAAUCACAUAAAAGCCUACAAUUUCCAUCUUCCUAGAAAGUCAGAUGGGAGGAACAACAGACACUGUGGUCAAUUAUUUUAUUGAGAAAUUUGUCUUCUUGUUUUCUCAAACACAAUGUGUUAUAUCUAGUUUUCUUCUUUUAAAAAUAUCUUAUAUAGUCAGUCAUUUUCCAACCAUUUUCUUGUUCUAUAUACAUUUUGGAUUUCACAUAAAUGAAUUCUUUAGGUAUAGUAGUUAUAUUAUCUUAUUACUUAUUAUUUAUUUGAAGAUAGGCAUAACUAGAAAAAAAAAAGUAGAAUUUAGGACUGAUAGCCUACUAACCUAUGCGUAGAUAUGAGUAAUAAAUAAAUUUACAGUAUAUAAUCUAUAUAGAGGAAAUUAUACAUUAAACAUAAAUGUACGUGCGCUCAAUAUGCAUGCAAAUAUUCAUAUUUAUUGUUCAAAAUAUUGGAAAACCACAUAUAAUUGUGCUGCACUUUUGGAAUUGUAAAACUAGAUGAGAUAACAUUGCUAAGGAUAGCAAGACAAUUAAAGAAUAUUUGCCUUAUGGAGGAUUUUAAAUUAAGCCUGAGAGAAAAGAAUAUAAAGCAUUGGUUUGAUGAUUGAUGCCAUAUGAUGAAUACUGAAAUUAAGAUGUCUAUCUUCCCUCUUAUCCUAAAAAAGCAGCUAGUUUUAAUAACUCUUAGGCAGACUAAGGCAUUUAAGAGUCUCAUUUGGAUACUGUUUUCUCCUCUUCACAAGAAAAUGGAUAAAUCAGAUGAAUUUGCUCUUCACAAGCAUGUCUGUCAGAAUUGUUAGCUCCAGGUAAUUCAGUGCUGUAUGCACUGAUAUUGUAAGAGUAAGAAAAAACUCUACUUCCAUAUAUGUAAUUCCACUGCAAAAUAAUCAGUCCUCCAAUAAGCUGCUUUAAUUUCAUCAGUUACUCUCAGUGCUGAAAAUACAUGCCUAGAAUCAACCUUCCUUCAGCAGUUAAGAUAGGUGCAACUAUGUAGCUACCCUAAUCAUGCUGUAUUUGUUUUGUAAUUUUAGUAUAUGAUGAGUAAUGGCAAGCAUAAAAAUUGGAAUGAGAAAACAAUUAUAUCUUCAAUCCCCUAAGAGAAUCCAAAAUGUUAUGAGUGAGUAGACUGUCUGUUGUACACCAAAGUAAAUAAUAAAAAGCUCAACAAAUAAUAUGUGUGUGAAUAUUUUAAAGAAAGAAGGACAACAGUGAAGAAUGUUUCUCUUGAUUAUAAAUAAAGGGAAAGUGAGGAUGCAAUAGUGACACAGUCACAGUUAUUUGCUUAUGACUCUCAGAUGUAAAUCUGAACUAUGCUGUGAACUAAUGCUGUACAUUUUCUGGUGAAUGCUUAUUUAUAGAUAAUAGAGUAUAAAUGAAUAGAAGUGUCUGGAAAUGGUAAUGGCUUCAUAAUAUACUUACUCUCUGCAAAUACUUUUGGUUUUCAAGCACAAUAAUUAAAAGAUGUGUUCAGCCUCAAGAUGCCACUUGAACUGGACUAUUCAGCCAUGUAAGGGAUUGAAAACUCUUUCUUCAGCAAAAAUAUUCAAUUGGAUUUGAAACUUGGUCUACUUAACUAUGACAAAUAUGUUUGAAAAUUAAAGUAAGCUCACCUGAAUAUGGAGGAUAAUGAAUGUCAGAAUGUCAGAAUAUUUAGGAUGGGUCCAAACACCAGAGUAGGACAUUCAGGAACAAAAUUUAUGUAGUAAAAUCUUCCUAGUUUGAUCAGUAAGAGUAAAAAUUAAACAAAAAGCCUAGGAAGCCUAGUCUUCUCAUUGAUAUGAACUAUAUUAAGGUACAACUAUUUGUGCAGAAACUGUAUUCCAUUCUUUGGCAGAGAGACCACAAAAGCUUAGACAUGUAUAAUCCUCCUCAAAUUCUUAUUCCAGGAAAGAAUUUGAUUAGGGGAGUUGAAUAUGAACUCCUCUUGAAGUCAUAAAUUAAUAAAUAAAUCCAACUACUGCUGUUUGUUCAAAUCCUCCUUAGGAUUAUCCAACCAUAUAAACAUAAAGCAAAAGCCAUGAAAGACGACAAUGAAGAAUUCUAAAUGUAACAGAAAGAACUUAGCUGCAUUAAAAACUUAUGUGUUACUGAUAAUAAGGCAUUUCAUUACUGAAGUGGGAGGCUAUUGACUGGAGUGUAAUAGAGAUACAUAAUUCAGGACAGAUCAAUCAACUCAUUCAAUUUAGCUCUCUUCGUCCUUGAAGACAUAUUUUAAUAUAAUAGCACAAGAAAGUAGAUUUGGAGUUUUCUAGAUCUGUCUCUCUUGAACCACGUUGCUUAAAAACAGAGUAGUAAAACAAUUUUAACAAAUCAAGAACAUGGCUAGAUGCUGAUACAAUAUAUAUCACAAGUAAAUUAAUUUUUGUACAAAUAUACAGAAGAAUCCCUUUGUAGAAUCAUGUAGAACUUAGACAGUCAUAAGAUAUUGAUAAACAUAAGAGGUGCGAAAAUGAGCUAGGAAAUUCAAUAGGCAUAUACCAAUACUGGAAACAAAACCAAGAAAAUAAGCUGUAAGAAGAGAUGGAGUAUGAAACACUGCUGUUAUAAGGACUCGUAUUCCAAGAAGAAAACAUCAGUAGAAAUUACUUACCGGGUAUUUGACACAGCGCGCUAUAAAUUAUGGUCUGUAUUAAAACACAGCUGAGCUCCAAACAGGUGUUUAUUUCUAAAUACAAGAAUUUUAAGCAUGUAGUACAGGUACCCAAAGAACUACAGCAUGUUGAGUCUGUGGUGAGAUUAGAAAGGAGUUCCUACAGAGCUUGCAAUGGGCAAGCUAUCAGCUCUGGUGAUCUUAUUAGAAAUAAGUUUUCCUAGAUUUACAGAAUAGUGCCAGGAAAACCUUCCCAUCACCUUUUUCUUUCAUUUUUAAUUUACUUGGAAGUACUGGUAACCUAUAAUAAAGACUCAUAUCAUCCCUGGAUACCAUGAAUGUUGGCUCCUCAGAAGCACUUAAGAGAGAACUAUGAGA